rnacentral:rRNA from 1 species
CAGCCGCCACGGUAAUACGUAGGGUGCGAGCGUUAAUCGGAAUUACUGGGCGUAAAGCGUGCGCAGGCGGUUGUGUAAGACAGGUGUGAAAUCCCCGGGCUUAACCUGGGAACUGCGCUUGUGACUGCACGGCUAGAGUAUGGCAGAGGGGGGUGGAAUUACACGUGUAGCAGUGAAAUGCGUAGAGAUGUGGAGGAACACCGAUGGCGAAGGCAGCCCCCUGGGCCAAUACUGACGCUCAUGCACGAAAGCGUGGGGAGCAAACAGGAUUAGAUACCCCUGUAGUCCCUGUCUCUUAUAA